rnacentral:rRNA from 1 species
UAGGGAAUCUUCCACAAUGGGCGCAAGCCUGAUGGAGCAACACCGCGUGAGUGAAGAAGGGUUUCGGCUCGUAAAGCUCUGUUGUUAAAGAAGAACAUAUCUGAGAGUAACUGUUCAGGUAUUGACGGUAUUUAACCAGAAAGCCACGGCUAACUACGUGCCAA